GAUGAACGCUGGCGGCGUGCUUAACACAUGCAAGUCGAACGAAGCAUUUAGGACAGAUUACUUCGGUUUGAAGUUCUUUAUGACUGAGUGGCGGACGGGUGAGUAACGCGUGGGUAACCUGCCUUGUACUGGGGGAUAGCAGCUGGAAACGGCUGGUAAUACCGCAUAGCGCACAAUGUUGCAUGACAUGGUGUGAAAAACUCCGGUGGUAUAAGAUGGACCCGCGUCUGAUUAGCUAGUUGGUGAGAUAACAGCCCACCAAGGCGACGAUCAGUAGCCGACCUGAGAGGGUGACCGGCCACAUUGGGACUGAGACACGGCCCAGACUCCUACGGGAGGCAGCAGUGGGGAAUAUUGCACAAUGGAGGAAACUCUGAUGCAGCGACGCCGCGUGAGUGAAGAAGUAAUUCGUGAUGUAAAGCUCUAUCAGCAGGGAAGAUAGUGACGGUACCUGACUAAGAAGCUCCGGCUAAAUACGUG
rnacentral:rRNA from 1 species